rnacentral:misc_RNA from 1 species
ACCCGCUCUCGCUCUCUUUCUUCGCUCUCAAAACCAAACCCUCUCCACGAAAAUCCCAAACCCCAAAACCCCCGCUAAAGUAAAAUUCCCCAAUUUCCAAAACAAACCCAUCUCUGAAGCCACAGAGAAUCCUGUAACAUAACUAUAUAAACUGAAUAUUUAUGGAUUCAGAUCAGGUAAAGCUAUUUAUUGGUGGGAUUUCAUGGG